ensembl:lncRNA
AUUGGUGAGAGGCAACAGGUUUGGUGAGAUAAUAGGAGGUUGGGGGCAAAGACGGGAGACAAGCUAAGGGGGAGGAAGCUUUCUGAAGUUUGGUAGAGUGACAGUAAUGAUAUUCCAUCCAGUCAUCAACUUCUUUCUCCAGACUCUUACUCCUCUGGUAGUUUCCAGCAACAUGAGCCAGAUGCCACCCAGAAAAUUCUUGGUGAAGUCUUCAGAUGACUUUGUCAGAGAAGCCUUAGACACCGUAGGCAUCUCUAACUUCAGCUGGGGGUGUUUCCUACACUCUGUCCACAGCUUGUUGCUGUGGCCCCUGACCUCGAACUUCAAAUUCAUCAUCCUGAUUCUGAUGUUCUUCAACUCUCGGUUCAGAGCAUUCAGAGGAUCCUGAAGAAGUUGUGGGAGGGAGGUGGGGGCUCAGUUGGAGGCCCUUUGUUGUGGGAGGGGCAGUGACUGCUGCUGGUGGGAAGAGAGGGGCAAACAGAGGGGUUUCCUCUGCUUGGCUCAUCUCUCUGUCCUGCUUUCUAGGGUCCCUUUGAGGAGAAACCCCAGCCCUCAGAAGCCAUAGCUGUAACUUGUCAUAAUAAAUUGUUUUCUCUUUAGCCA